AAGGUACGGUAAUUGGAUUUGGAGAACGAAAUGACUGGAACGUUGUAGAAGAUCCAUUGCUCGAUUCUGAACAAAUACAAAGCAGUUAAGCAACUUGAAAGCAGUAUCUUAUUGUCAAUGGAUGGGAAGUCAUAUUACAAGAAAUUCUAGAAUAACUCUGGAAUACUGCCGCACCACAACCGUUUUGAGGGUAGUGAAAGUCGAGAGCAGUCAACUUAAUACAAUUUCAUAACGGAAGCAAGAUAAGCACUACCACUAACCAUUAUUUGUCUAUGUUACAAGGCCAAAGCACUGAGAUUUAUUGUUUUGGCUAUGGCCUCGCACAAUGCAAUAAGG
rnacentral:lncRNA from 1 species